CUUUUCCGCUUCUCUUCAGAACCACUGCCAUCCUGGACAAGAUGGGAACAGAAGUGCAAUUUAAAAGGCUCCUCUCUGCAGCAACCAAUCCUUGACCAGACCCACAGGUACCCCUGGGCCAAAGACAAGGCAACAAUCAAGACCAAGGCCUGGGACCUAGCAGGCUUUCAGGAAGUUCUAUGGUGAGUAGCACUUACUCUCUAUAGAAGAAAGCAGUGUGCACCAGGAAAAAAAAAUAAAAAACAGUGCUGACCCCACAUAUAUGUUUUGCAGACACAUGAGGGGAAGGUGCUGGAAAGGCCUUUGGGUGUUCAAUGCUGAUGGUGACACCAGCUCUCCUGGGAUGUCAGCUCAAACACACACUGCUCCCCAAAUGCCAUCGGCAGCCCAGCUGCACACCCAACACUGGCUGGCUGACCCCAGGAGAAGCCAGAGAGCCAUCACCACAGGGCAAGGGGCCAGACUGUGGCCACUGUGGGACCAGGGCCACUCACCAGUCUGCUUGGGGCAAUCAGUGUGUCCAUUUGAGAAAAAAGACUAUUGUGAGUCAAGGCCACACAGACCAGGGAGGAGAUGCCAAGUUGAUCUCAGCAGCUGCGGGGGCUCAGCUCUGACCUGGGGAUAACAGCUGACCCGAGGGCCCCCUGCCCUUGGAGGCUAAUGCUCCAAGCUCCCACUCUUAUAGCCUGGGCAGGCCCCACAAGCUCAGCACUAGGAAGAGGGGAGUCAAAGAUCAUGGGUCUGUCACCCAAGGGCAAGACAGGCCCAAACUGAGUCUCCAGGCGAGUCAGUUCUCUGAGCUGUCUUAGGACAAAGUCUAAACUCCCUGCCCUGUCCACAAGUCCCUGCAGACCUUGGCUCCUGCCACCUCUCUCGACAGUCUGUGCUUGAGCCAGGGCCUCCAACGUGUUCUUCUCGCUUUGCUUCCAGGUCUUUGGCCAGGCUGUACCCCUUCCUAGGACACCUUCUCACUCUUUUCAUCAGGCCAGGUCCUAUUAAUCCUUCAGGUUGCAGACACUGCUUCCACUGGGAAACCUGACCCCAGAGCUGAGACAGGAGCUGAACUACAAGCCCCUAUAACACACUGUAUAUGGCACACUAAAUCCCAGGUGCCUGCUUUGUCAUCCCCAGCAGACAGCAGGCUCCACGGGGCAGGGUUGGCAGACCGUUGUACCUUGGCACUUGGUUUGUAUCUGCCUGUCAGGAUGCUCAUUCAAGACUGCGCCCAAGGUGAGUCAGAGCCACACCUGGGCAGAGGCGACACAGCCCGCAUUCCUGCCCUGGGCUCCUGCCUGCUCCUGACUUCUGGGCUCUCUGGUGCACAUGAGAGCUCCUCAAGAUGCUGGGAUGAAGUGAAAAGGCCCAGCCCGGGAUCCCACCCUACCCCUGGCCCCAGGCCCUCUACACCUAUGUGGAACACAAGUCCUUCUCCCUGCUGGCCCACAAGCCACCUGCCCUUGACUGUCACCUGCUGCCCCACAACACAUGCAGGCCAACUGGAAAAGUGCCAGCUCCACUGUUGCCCUCCACCCCACUUUUCUAGGCUUCUACCCCCACCUAGACAGUGGCCAGGGACACAAGCCUGUGGGUCUGUUUACCUCAUGCCCUGACAUGGCUGGACCUCAAGACACUAAGGUCUGGCCAGGAUGCCAGGGAGCCAUAACAAGUCCCUGCCACCCCCACCAGAGGAGCACAGCAUGGCCCAGCUGGCCCCCUCAUCUGGGCUCACAUCCUGAAAAGCUCUCUCAGACAUUCUGGGGUCUCCAGCUAUAGCCAGACUCGGUAAAUGGCCUGGAACUGCCAUCUUGGGCCAGCUAGAGUUGCCCAGGCCCUAGACAAACCUUCCCUCUGGACCCCAUCUGCAAUGCUACAUGCACCCCCACCAACUGGGACUUCACACAAAGGCCAGUGUACCCCAUUUCUGCAAGCCACUGGACACAUAAGCACUAUUCUCAAGGGGUUUGCAAACAAGGAGGCUCUGAUACAACAGACGUGGAUCUGACUCCCACAAGUGUCAUUUUCCCUGGGAGCAUGAGAGAGCAGGCAAGAGGCCCUAUGGUCGGCCCAUUCCCAAUCCAGACAGUCCCUGGACCAUCACUUCUCUGGACUGAACUUCAGCUCUGAAAAGCAGAGCCCAGGCCAACAGGCCAGAGAGUCACGAGUCCCAGGGGUCUCAGCCAUCAAGCUGCUCAGGAUCAGAAGCUUGGCCAGGGUUCAAGCUGCCUGAAGUUUGAGCUUACACAGUAAAAAUGCCAACCACUGAGAUGCUUUUAAAGGGAUGUGUAAGAGAGGAAUCCUUUCAGGGCUUAUGAGGCACUCUCAGGGCUCCGUCCAGUCUUCUACCUUGAUUGCCUCCCUCCCCCAUAGCCCCACAAAUGCCCACAGGGUGUCCAUGGGAAGCUGGGAUAGCCAGGUUUGUUUUGCCAGGGGUGGGGGAGGUGGGGGCUGCUAAUGCAGAGAGAAAACAGUCAUGAGCAAAGCCAGAAAAGGAUUAAGCCUCCAGGCUCAGCUUUUGCCUGCACUGAAGGGACUGCCUGCCUUCCUCCUAGGCAAAGGCCACGAAGAGUCACAGGCAGCCCUGGAAAACCCAUUCCAACAGGACCCAGGGAUCCCAGCAGGAGUAGGGUAGAAGCAGGCAGGUUUAGGCUUCCUCCGCAGGAGACUCAGCAGAUGUUCCUGAGGCCCUCUGGUGAGGGCCUCCUGGGACCGCUGGGGUCCUUGCUCUGUCUCCUCAAAACAGUCUCUAUGCCCUAUACAGCUCCCACCACUGGAGGCUGCUGCACUACCUCCCUUCCCUUCUGGAAAGGCCUGGCUCCCCAGCAGGGCUAGAGCAGGGCUCUCUGAAGUCUGUGCCUGAGCACCCCAGUGCCAGACUCUGCCCUGGGCCAAAGAUACAGAUGAGGCCACUCACAGGGGCCUCCCUUGCCAUUGCCUUGCCCUGCCCACUCCCCCACCACACACCCUCCCUGCUGCAGCUCUGCAGGUGGGCCUGCUGACCCUUCAUCUGCUCCACAAGCAUUUGCUGAGCACUUGCUGCAAGCCAGGCUCUGGGAGACACAGGAGACACAGAGCUUCCAGGCCGGUGGGGAGACAGAGAAACAGAAACACACGCUAAUUAUAAUGCAAGGAAGCCCGUGCAGGGACUAGGGAGCCUGGGAGCAGCAGGGCCUGGAGACAACAUGAUCCAAGACGGAGGGCAGUGGACUGUUUGUCAGGUAACCAACCAGAUGUCUGGUCCAGGAGCCGCCACUCACUGGUUCCUGCCUUUGAGGAGCUUAAGAGCCUGGGGUGGGAAGAGACCUGUAUCCAGGGACCAAAGAAACACCUUUGUAAAAAGCAAGUGCCACCAGGACUAGCUGCAUGCCGAAUAUGCGAGAGUACUGCUUAUCUGCAUAACCACUUAUUUCCAACUGAGAAACGAGAAAGGCUGGCUCUGAAAGUAACUUGUCCCAGUUCACAGAACUCAUGACUGAGGAGUCAAGAUUCAAAUCUAAGCCUCCUGACCCCAAACCAGGUCUCUCUCUGUCACUGUGUCAAUACCCGUCUGUGUGGAUGUCAAGCAGUGGUUCUUAAACCUCAGUGUGUGCAAUAAAACCCACCCUGAGAGACUAGUUCAUGGGUCUGGUGGGGUGGGGGUCGGGGGUGGGAAGAGCACGAUGGGGA
rnacentral:lncRNA from 1 species